UGGAAGGGAAAUCUGGCCACAAAACUGUUAUGUUAAGCACUUUUCCACAGGAACUUAUUGCUUUAAUAAGUUGGGAGAAUGCUCUUGAAGAAAAAAAAUAGUCGUUGAAGAUUCAUUAGAGGAAGAAAAAAAAACCUACUUGAUUCUCCAUGGAAUUCACAGUUUCCUUGCUGUGGAAUGCUGCACAUACCCUGAGGUCCUAGCAAGGAGUCAGAGUGAGACAGCCACUCACCAGCGGAAAGAGAAUUUUAUGUUCUCAGGCACAGCACAGAAUGAUGAAAGUGUGUAUACCCGGCAGUACUUCCAAUAUCCCCGUGGACUGGGGAUUCCAAGAUAAACAACGCCUCACGCAGAGUUUCCAGGUACUGCUCUGUGAAAAAUUGAGACAUGCAUUUGCUUUUUUUGCUGAUAGCCAGUGAGAAGAUAUAGGCCUUGAGGUAGAGAUAAGGAAGAAAAGAAAACUCCUUUGCUCAGUGGAAAAAUGGAAGGGGAAAGGGGAAAAUGACACGAUUUAAAAAUACAUCUAAAGACAGAAUAUACCUGAAUCCAGGUAAACAAUAAGAUUGAUCUAUAUAAAACAUCUGAUGCCAAAGACAUUUACCCAAAUUUUCAUGCACUGUGUAAAGUCUCUACAUCAGAAUUUUAUGGAAAAGAAAUUUGCAUUAACGCCUUCCUUUCUCUCCACAUCGCACACAUAGAAUUCUAUAAACCAAUUUAUUCCUUUACUUCCUUCUCCUCUGUCUCCACCUUCUAAGUGUGUAUUCUUAGCCCAGGAAGAAGUCAGAGCCAGUUAUUGUACACAAAUCAUCUCCUGGCUGAAGUUUUUGGUGGCAGCCAAGAGAGGAGAAGGGAAAAAAAUUAGAAAAAUUUCAAUUUCAGGACCAUUAUUAUUUUCAUUAAUCAUAAGAGGCGCUGUCACCCCUGUCCUUAUUCUUUCGAAGGAGAUCUAUUAUACGGUCCAUUUAGUCCGAGCCAUAUUACCUCAUAUGUUUUCCUGGCUGACCAAAUAAGACUUAAGAGAUAAAACAAUUUACUGUUCAUUAUGAUCCGUGUCACUGGAAUCAAUCUAUUAACCUACAUUAACUGGAUAUGUGACGAUAUCUCACAUACACGCUUCCUCAGUUUAAAGAAAAGGCGAGCAAAUGGGGAGGGGGCAGAGAGAGUGAGGGAAAAGGAGAGGGAAGGAAAUCAGGGCCCAUAAAGUGCAGCAGACGUAUAAUUUGCCAAGCGAAUACAACUUCAUUUUCCAGUGCCCACUGCUGCGCCCUCCACAUCUUCACGCAGCCCCUGACCUGUAAAGAAGUCUAACAAAUUGGCUUCUAUUGUGGAGCCAAAAGGUGCCAUCAAAGAAGGGACGGUUCGCUGGUCCUAAAGUAUGAUGGGAAAUCUCAGGCUGGAAUAAAGAGCUGCCGUUUUAUGAAGUUAACCCAUUAAGGUUAAAAGCAAGCAAGAAGCCGUGGCCGGUGGGGCAGCAGCACCAGAAAGAGCCUUCUUGUUCAAACACAGGAAAGGCAGCACGAGGUGAAGCAAGGGCCACACAAAGGUAAAAUAAAAAUCAGCAUCAUCUUCCUAUUUUCAGCAAUAAAAAUCCCCCUGCUGUGUCUCCAGACAGCCCCUCUGUUUCAUUCUCACUCCCUUUCCGUAGAGGAAGGGUCAUAAGCAUCUCAAGGGAAGGAAAUGAAUCAAUGGGUGGUUUUAAUGCACCCCUGCGUGAAAAUGUAACUUUAGACGGUAGAGCAGUUAAGGUGGCAGGUACAUCGCUAGAAUGUGGCUCUAUCAUCCUGUUUAUCCUACAUUUGUAACCGCUUGUUAAGAGCUUGUCUGGGCGUUGCCUUGUGUGGUGUAAAUUUCCUUCGGAGACUCCAGAGCCCAAUGCAAGGCUGCCCAGCCCACAGGCAGACCCCUCCAUACACGGUGCACUAAUCCAGACCAUCCAAGUUGUCAAGGAGUUGAGCAUUGUUAACUCACAGCCGGAGCAGCUUGUGCAUGGUGAGGGUGAGCCACCACCUGUUUCCCUUGCAGGAUGGAGGGAAAAAACUUCAGACUGUAUAUAUUUCCCUUUCAUGGGUGAUUGGGCCCACUAAUUACCAUAGGAACCUGAGGGAUAGAAAUACAAAACUCUGUUCUUCAUUCAACUUUCUUAGUCCCAGGAAGAAGGAAAACAUCGGUGAUCACUGGCUGCUUUCUAGCGGGUAUAAUUGGUGUAGGAAAACUUCCCCGGGUGGGGCUGUGGGUGAGCGGUGGGGAGAAGGGAUGCAUUUCUUGGCAGCUGCACCUGAGUUAUUGCUUACUGACAUAUCCUGUUCUGGAGAACAGGAAAUGAAAGGCAGUUGGAAUUAUUGGUAAGCCAUGUCAUUCCUAACUAGUAAAAGGCUGGGAUCACACACACAUUAUUCACAAAUAUAAAAGUGCUGAAGAAGUAUCCAGUUAUUUUGCAUGCUGGUGACAUCAUUAUACCUCUUCAUGGGUUUUCAUGGGUGUAUUCCUGGGCCACCUCAGUAAAAUUAUACUCCUUUUGGUCCAUAUCAACAGAACUGUUUUUAAAAAGACCUCGAGGGAUCUCUUCUGCUUGAAGAUACACAUUCAGCUCCUUCUUCCUUUCUCCAAAGUACCGACAGAAAAAAAAGUAAAUGAAGCUAGCAGCGGAAACAUCUUUGUACCCUUCGUUUCUCCACAAGGUUGUUGAGACGAGAAAAGACAGUUGGAGCAGUAUUUCAACACAAAUGAAACUUCCUGUUUG
rnacentral:lncRNA from 1 species